rnacentral:rRNA from 1 species
GCCAGCCCGCUCAGAAACUCAAAGGAAUUGAUGGGGCCCGCACAAGCGGAGGAGCAUGUGGUUUAAUUCGAUGAUACGCGAGGAACCUUACCUGGGCUCGAACGUAAGAUGACUGUAGGUGAAAGCUUACAUCUCUUCGGAGCAUUUUACGAGGUGCUGCAUGGUUGUCGUCAGCUCGUGCCGUGAGGUGUCGGGUUAAGUCCCAUAACGAGCGCAACCCCUACCUUUAGUUGCCAUCAGGUAAUGCUGGGGACUCUAAAGGAACUGCCUACGCAAGUAGUGAGGAAGGCGGGGAUGACGUCAAAUCAGCACGGCCCUUACGUCCAGGGCUACACACGUGCUACAAUGGCCGAUACAGAGGGCAGCUACCUGGUGACAGGAUGCAAAUCUCCAAAGUCGGUCUCAGUUCGGAUCGGAGUCUGCAACCCGACUCCGUGAAGUUGGAUUCGCUAGUAAUCGCGCAUCAGCCAUGGCGCGGUGAAUACGUUCCCGGGCCUU